AUUGAACGCUGGCGGCAGGCCUAACACAUGCAAGUCGAGCGGAUGAAGGGAGCUUGCUCCUGGAUUCAGCGGCGGACGGGUGAGUAAUGCCUAGGAAUCUGCCUGGUAGUGGGGGAUAACGUCCGGAAACGGGCGCUAAUACCGCAUACGUCCUGAGGGAGAAAGUGGGGGAUCUUCGGACCUCCCGCUAUCAGAUGAGCCUAGGUCGGAUUAGCUAGUUGGUGGGGUAAAGGCCUACCAAGGCGACGAUCCGUAACUGGUCUGAGAGGAUGAUCAGUCACACUGGAACUGAGACACGGUCCAGACUCCUACGGGAGGCAGCAGUGGGGAAUAUUGGACAAAGGGCGAAAGCCUGAUCCAGCCAUGCCGCGUGUGUGAAGAAGGUCUUCGGAUUGUAAAGCACUUUAAGUUGGGAGGAAGGGCAGUAAGUUAAUACCUUGCUGUUUUGACGUUACCAACAGAAUAAGCACCGGCUAACUUCGUG
rnacentral:rRNA from 1 species